AGCCGGCCGGCGGGACUGUCAGGAUUCAGCCGAGGGAGAGAUUUAUCUAAGCCGAGUGGAGGGGCCUGUGACCUUGGGCUUGAGAGCUUUAAAGCGAACAGGCGGCUGUUGAAGAUGGAACAAAGAGAUGCUUGGCCCUCUCUCAAAGCAUCAAGGUUUCAGGUCCAGUUGAGACAGGAUCCAGCAGAUGGUUCUCAUCACCCACUCAGGGCAGAGCAACUGUGCCGGAAGCUGGUCCCAGGCAGCUGGGGGCUCCGUGGGACAUCAGAGCCAGCUUUGCUUCCAGACUGGGGCACCCCCACUUCAGACCGGAAGGAAACCCAGCUGGGGAGGUAUCACUAGCAACCUUCCCAACGCCCAGGGCCCCGACGGGAGGAGAACAGCUCUCUAGCGGACUGCUAAUUCUGCCUCAGAACCUUUCACUCCCUUUCAUCUGCAAGAACUGGUGCGCAGAGAUCCUGGGGGAGGCCUUCGGCACCCCUGCACCCUGGCCUCGGCGAGAUUCAGGCUCCGGGUCUUCUUCCCAAGACCGGGUCCUCUCUGCCUUCACUCCGCGUCGUUAUUAAGAGAUGAUGCAGGUCUAGGGGCAAGGACCCUUUGCUCUGGAAAAAUUAUGUGUGACACUUUACAUAUGGAUCAGGUAAUUAAUGGAUGCCCUGAUUUCCUCCACCAUAACAUGAAGAGGGUGAGCACAGCACUUUAAUUCCAGAUAAUUAAAGAGCGAUCGAGUUCGCACGCGCUGCUCGGGGAGUGC